rnacentral:rRNA from 1 species
UGAGCGAUCACGUGAGUGGCAGACGGGUGAGUAACGCGUGGGAACAUACCCUCCGGUUCGGAAUAACUCAGGGAAACUUGAGCUAAUACCGGAUACGCCCCCGGAUUUAAUCCGGGGGGAAAGAUUGAUUGCCGGAGGAUUGGCCCGCGUUCGAUUAGCUAGUUGGUGAGGUAACGGCUCACCAAGGCGACGAUCGAUAGCUGGUCUGAGAGGAUGAUCAGCCACAUUGGGACUGAGACACGGCCCAAACUCCUACGGGAGGCAGCAGUGGGGAAUAUUGGACAAUGGGCGCAAGCCUGAUCCAGCCAUGCCGCGUGAGUGAUGACGGCCUUAGGG